GGGGAAUAUUGCACAAUGGAGGAAACUCUGAUGCAGCGACGCCGCGUGAGUGAAGAAGGUCUUCGGAUCGUAAAACUCUGUCCUUGGUGACGAAAAAAAUGACGGUAGCCAAGGAGGAAGCCCCGGCUAACUACGUGCCAGCAGCCGCGGUAAUACGUAGGGGGCGAGCGUUGUCCGGAUUUACUGGGCGUAAAGGGUGAGUAGGCGGUAAUAUGUGUCAGAUGUAAAAGGCUAUGGCUUAACCAUAGUUGGCAUUUGAAACUGUAUUACUUGAGUGCAGGAGAGGUAAGUGGAAUUCCUAGUGUAGCGGUGAAAUGCGUAGAUAUUAGGAGGAACACCAGUGGCGAAGGCGACUUACUGGACUGUAACUGACGCUCAGACGCGAAAGCUAGGGUAGCAAACG
rnacentral:rRNA from 1 species